UACAGAGGUCCCAAGCGUUGUUCGGAUUCAUUGGGCGUAAAGGGUGCGUAGGCGGCGCGGUAAGUCGGGUGUGAAAUCUCGGGGCUUAACUCCGAAACUGCAUUCGAUACUGCCGUGCUUGAGGACUGGAGAGGAGACUGGAAUUUACGGUGUAGCGGUGAAAUGCGUAGAUAUCGUAAGGAACACCGGUGGCGAAGGCGGGUCUCUGGGCAAUUCCUGACGCUGAGGCGCGAAAGCGUGGGGAGCAAACGGGG
rnacentral:rRNA from 1 species